GGCCGGUUGGCCCAAUGGCAAGGCGUCUGACUACGAAUCAGGAGAUUCUGGGUUCGACCCCCAGGCUGGUCA
rfam:Colletotrichum orbiculare MAFF 240422 contig07444, whole genome shotgun sequence.